AGUGAACGCUGGCGGCAGGCCUAACACAUGCAAGUCGAGCGGCAGCGCGGGGGCAACCCUGGCGGCGAGCGGCGCACGGGUGUGGUAUUCGACGGAAUCUGAAUUCUUGUGGGGGAUACCGUAUGGAAACUUAUGAUAAUAACGCAUACGUCCUACUGCCGAAUGAGGGGGACGGCAAGGCCUCUCCGGGAAAGAUGACUCGACGACCGUUUAGCUAGUUGGUGGGGUAAAGGCUCUCUAAGGCGGCGAUCGGUAGCUGGUCUGAGAGCAUGAUCAGCCAGACGGGGAGUGAGACACAGCCGAGACUCCUGCGGGAGGCAGCAGUGGAGAAUAUUAGGCAAUGGGGGCAAGCCUGAUCCAGCCAUGCGGCGUGUGUGAAGAAGGCGUUCGGGUUGGAAAGCACUUUUGUCCGGAGAGAAAUCCCUGGAGCUAAGACCUUCAGGGGGUGACGGUACCGGAAGAAUAAGCACCGGCUAACUUCGUG
rnacentral:rRNA from 1 species